AUUGAACGCUGGCGGCAGGCCUAACACAUGCAAGUCGAGCGAGCGGCGGACGGGUGAGUAAUGUCUGGGAAACUGCCUGAUGGAGGGGGAUAACUACUGGAAACGGUAGCUAAUACCGCAUACCAUCAGAUGUGCCCAGAUGGGAUUAGCUAGUAGUUGGGUUAAUGGCUCACCUAGGCGACGAUCCCUAGCUGGUCUGAUAGGAUGACCAGCAACACUGGAAUGGAGAGACGGUCAAGAGUCCUAUGGGAGGCAGCAGUGGGGAAUAUUGAACAAUGGGGGCAAGCCUGAUGCAGACAGGCCGCGUGUGUGAAGAAGGCCUUCGGGUUGUAAAGCACUUUCAGCGGGGAGGCGUUACCCGCAGAAGAAGCACCGGCUAACUCCGUGCCAGCAGCCGCGGUAAUUC
rnacentral:rRNA from 1 species